rnacentral:tRNA from 1 species
GUUAGGAUGUAGCUCAGUGGUAGAGCACUUGCCUAGCAUAAGCAAGGCCUGGAUUCAAUUCCCAGUACUAAAA